CCUAGAGUUGUAGGCUUUGCCUGCUAUCUCUUACCCAUGUCUUUUGAGUACCUUCGUUUCCUCGGCGGGUCCGCCCGCCGAUUGGACAAUUUAAACCAUUUGCAGUUGCAAUCAGCGUCUGAAAAAACUUAAUAGGUUA
rnacentral:misc_RNA from 1 species